rnacentral:rRNA from 1 species
GACGAACGCUGGCGGCGUGCUUAACACAUGCAAGUCGAAAGGAGUGGCGAACGGGUGAGUAACACGUGGGUGACCUGCCCUGCACUUCGGGAUAAGCCUGGGAAACUGGGUCUAAUACCGGAUAGUGUGGGAUGGGCCCGCGGCCUAUCAGCUUGUUGGUGGGGUAAUGGCCUAACAAGGCGGCAACGGGUAGCCGGCCUGAGAGUGUGGACGGCCACAUUGGGACUGAGACACGGCCCAGACUCCUACGGGAGGCAGCAGUGGGGAAUAUAGCACAAUGGGCGGAAGCCUGAUGCAGCGACGCCGCGUGGGGGAUGACGGCCUUCGGGUUGUAAACUCCUUUCACCAUCGACGCGGUAGAUGGAGAGGACGCACCGGCUAACUACGUGCCAGCAGCCGCGGUAAUAC